rnacentral:rRNA from 1 species
UCGAGAAUUUUUCUCAAUGGGGGAAACCCUGAAGGAGCGACGCCGCGUGGAGGAUGAAGGCUUUCGGGUUGUAAACUCCUGUCAUUUGGGAACAAGGCAUUAGAAUUAACUGUUUUGAUGUUGAUAGUACCAGAAGAGGAAGGGACGGCUAACUCUGUGCCAGCAGCCGCGGUAAUACAGAGGUCUCAAGCGUUGUUCGGAUUCAUUGGGCGUAAAGGGUGCGUAGGUGGCGCCGUAAGUCGGAUGUGAAAUUUCGGAGCUUAACUCCGAAACUGCAUUCGAUACUGCGGUGCUUGAGGACUGGAGAGGAGACUGGAAUUCAUGGUGUAGCAGUGAAAUGCGUAGAGAUCAUGAGGAAGACCAGUGGCGAAGGCGGGUCUCUGGACAGUUCCUGACACUGAGGCACGAAGGCCAGGGGAGCAAACGGGAUUAGAUACCCCCGUAGUCC